GAUGAACGCUGGCGGCGUGCUUAACACAUGCAAGUCGAACGGAAAGGCCCAAGCUUGCUUGGGUACUCGAGUGGCGAACGGGUGAGUAACACGUGGGUGAUCUGCCCUGCACUUCGGGAUAAGCCUGGGAAACUGGGUCUAAUACCGGAUAGGACGAUGGUUUGGAUGCCACUGUGGAAAGUUUUUUCGGUGUGGGAUGAGCUCGCGGCCUAUCAGCUUGUUGGUGGGGUAAUGGCCUACCAAGGCGUCGACGGGUAGCCGGCCUGAGAGGGUGUACGGCCACAUUGGGACUGAGAUACGGCCCAGACUCCUAUGGGAGGCAGCAGUGGGGAAUAUUGCACAAUGGGCGCAAGCCUGAUGCAGCGACGCCGCGUGGGGGAUGACGGCCUUCGGGUUGUAAACUCCUUUCGCUAGGGACGAAGCGUUUUUGUGACGGUACCUGGAGAAGAAGCACCGGCUAACUACGUG
rnacentral:rRNA from 1 species